AGAGAGAUUUAAAGAGAUGUGCCAUGUCUGCAUUAAGAUUUAAAACUUGUCGUCUAGUUUUAGGUAAUGUUCGGAAGAGAGAACUUACAAUAAUACAACGUCGGAUUCUCUGAAGAAUGAGGAAGAAGAAGGAAUAUAUGAAGAGAAAGAUUUAUCCGAGAGAAAAUCUUAACAGUUACAUCCAAUCACAAACUACACGAAAGUUGCCCCUUUUUCAUGGUAAUUUACCCAUUACAGAGAUGCACAGAGGAAAAGAACGAACUUCAUAUAUCCCUUUUCUACUCAAUCCAGAAAGAAGAUUGGACGUUAUUCUGGUUCGUCUCAAUUUUUGUGAAACUAUUCCUCAAGCAAGGCAGCCGAUAAGUCAGAAAGAAGAUUGGACGUUAUUCUCGUUCGUCUCAAUUUUUGUGAAACUAUUCCUCAAGCAAGGCAGCCGAUAAGUCAUCGAAGGGUUUGUGUGAAUAAUGGAAUGGUAAGCAUUACUCAUUUGAAAGUGUCCCAUGGUGAUAGAAUAUCUUUUCAAGAAAAUGACGCAAGAAUCCGCGGUGAAGAAAUAAGGAGAUCUUUCUAUAUCGAAAUAUCAGUUGAAAAAAUCAUAGGCGAAUUCCGGUAUCGCCCGGUAAGAAUGUGGAGAAGAACCAAAACAGAAUGGUUCCACCUACUCAAAACUAAGAAGGAAUGCCACCUACUACUAAAAUCCUGGUUUUUGCAAAAGUUGUGUUCUUCUAUGCGAAAAGAAGACUUAGAAAGAAGAAAGAAGUUUGGAUCCGAAAAAGUAUGCUUAGGGAGUUCCUUCGCUGAGCAUAACAGAAUGAAGAGAAAUUUGUAUCAUUUCAAAUCCCUAUUCUUAUCGAAGAAAAAGAACGAGAAAAAGAAAUCCCUAUUCUUAUUGAAGAAAAAGAACGAGAAAACCCGAAAUCUUCCUACCCGAAUAAGAAGUCAUAUAGUUUACAACUUUUCUUUAUAUAGUAAUUCGAUCUAUUGCUCCGCAUCCCCCCAUCAGUUUACUAUGAAGAGAAGAAUAAAAAGGAUCGAAUUACCUACUCAUUAUUCGGAGGUGAAUCAUAGAACACUAAAAGCUGUGGUAUCUUAUGGACCUAACAUAGGUCAUAUCCCUCACGACAUAAGAUUGAAAGAUUUAAACCUUCUUCUUCGGAGCGGAAACGGACGUAACAUAAGAUUGAGAGAUUUAAAACUUUUUCUUCGGAGCGGAAACGGACGUGGCCAAAACAUAUAAAGAAAGGCGUAGUCGCUCAUAGGGACAUAUCUAUCCAAAUAGAAGAUAGUGACGAUCGAUUCAUAGAUAGAUUUCUAUCCAUAUGAUAGGUAUCCCCAUGGAUAGAGAGAAAUAUAGGAUCCAUGACGAUCUUUAUGAACUAUUCCCUUUUUCUGGAUUUUGAUUGAUUCCCUUUUUUUUUACGACAACUUUUAAAUCUUAAUGCAGGAACGAAGUCUUGACCAAUAGGGAGAGGAAAGGUAAUUUUCAUUUCAAUUAUUACUUGCUGGUCGGAGCGUAGACGAGCGAGCAGAGCCCAGGAAACAGGGACGUCAUAGAGCAGUUGACUAGAAGUAUAAGACUGCUGGCCUGACAGAAAGCGGCCUCUCUCGGUAAACAUGGAAAAUUUUCUCUUCUUUAUUUUUUUAGGGGCCCAGCUAACGCGUAGGUGGGGGAGAAGAAAACCGAACCUUUGAUUGACCUGGACACAUAAAAAAAUCUUGGCAUCGAGAGACAUUUGAGAUUCCGUAAGUAAGUUAGUGCUUUCUAAGGGCUUGGCUUGGAAAAAGAAGAUGAAAUACGAACAACCGCGCUGGUCGUAAUAGAUCGACUUUCAUUUGAGUUCUUGCUCAAGUAUGGAAGUUCCAUUUUAGGUAAGGAUGACGUACCAUGAUACUUUCUGGUUUGUUGAGCCCUGCUUUGGUCUAUGGUUUGAUGGUUGCACGUGCUAAAAACCCAGUACAUUCCGUUUUGUUUCCCAUCCUAGUCUUUUGCGAUACUUAAGGUUUGCUUCUUUUGUUAGGUCUCGACUUCUCUGCUAUGAUCUUCCUAGUAGUUCAUAUAGGAGCUAUAGUCGUUCCAUUCCUAUUCGUUGUUAUGAUGUUCCAUAUUCAAAUAGCGGAGAUUCACGAAGAAGUCUUGCGCUAUUUACCAGUGAGUGGUAUUAUUGGACUGAUCCUUUGGUGGGAAAUGUUCUUCAUUUUAGAUAAUGAAACCAUUCCAUUACUACCAAUCCAAAGAAAUACGACCUCUCUUAGAUAUACAGUUUAUGCUGGAAAGGUACGAGGUUGGACUAAUUUGGAAACAUUAGGCAAUUUACUUUAUACCUACUAUUUCGUCUGGUUUUUGCUUCCUAGUCUUAUUUUAUUAGUAGCCAUGAUUGGGGCUAGAGUUCUUACUAUGCAUAGGACUACUAAGGUGAAAAGACAGGAUAUAUUUCGACGAAAUGCUAUUGAUUUUAGGAGGAAUAUAAUGAGGAGGACGACUGUCGUGGCUCGGGACAGACACUUUGUGACUAUGUCAACAAAAUUUGAGAAUUAUGGAUUUGCGAUCGGUCAUUAUGUGAAUCCCAGUAAAGGUCCAGAGAUUGUACCAAUGUCAAUUACUGUGAGUACCGAGCCUAAAUCAGUAGUUGCAUGGAAGACAACAAAAAGGCUGUUAAAGAACUAGAACAAACUGUGAUUGAAAUGGCGGCCCUGAUGCGACAACCAAAGGAAAGGAUGGUGAUGAUGGUAUCAAAAAGGUGCAACAAGACAAGGAGAUAGUAGUGAUGAAGACAAAGGUGUUGAUGACACGCCUAUGGAUCAGAAUUAGGAUUAGAACAAAGUUGCAGAAUAGGAUGGUAGCAAACGGCCCUUACGUGCCUUCCUCCUCAACGACACAACUGGUCCACUCCUCAGAAAUGACCCAAGGUCAAACCACAACCAUGUCCUACAAGACAGACAGUUGGCCACACCACACCUUGCCUAAAUCUAGCUCGAUCUAUCUGAGCAGAAACUAUGGGCUCAUUUCUUGCCCCCACCAAACUCCUUCAAGCUCGACCCUCAAAAACCGCUCCUCACUGAGCCGAGAUUCCAAGGUUAGGUUAGGUUGGGUAUGCCUUGCCAACAUAACCCUAUCCACUUUUUCCUUAAGCCAUCGUUGACCAUGCUUAACACAGAGCAGACCCCUCGAGCUCGCUACCCAUCGAGCACCACUACCUUGAAGCCUCCUUAAAAGCCACUAAACAACAAAAGUGGAAGCGUCAAUACCACUGUUCCUGGUCCAACUCAUCUCUGAGUCGUCCUAGGAUCAACAAUAUGCAUCCUCCAGCUUUCUACAGAAAACCGGGUUUAAAAUAAAGAUGACACCUUCUCUCUAUAGCAAAACAUGUGCUCUACUUAGCCUAUUGCAUCACUAUCCACAAGCGUAACCCCUCGGGCAGCAUGCCGGCAUCUAGCAGGUGCGCCACACCAGUGUUAAGCCAUUCAUCCACGAUUUGUUAGUCAAAGAUCUCAUAUUGUCUCCAUUCACCAUCGACAACCUAGUCUCGCGCUCCCCAUGGUCUUUAACGUCACUGACUAGCACACCCGUGGAUUCCUCACACGUCAUGCUCAUAAUCUACUAGACCAUGCUUGUGCUAGUUCUCUGGCCACGCUCGUGAAUUACACUGUCAUAUGCGAGGUCGACAUACUAACCAUAACCGUUCCCCUCCCACCACACUUAUUAUUCAUUGAUUACCUCCCCUGCGACCAACAUAGCAUCACAUAUGUGGUUACUAAAUAACCUUAAUGAUUGUCUGUCAUGCAACGCCACUGCCUCUAUUCUUCUUAAUCUCUAUUGCUCAUUCCCCUUGUUCAUCCAACUUAUUACUAACACUGGAUUCUAGAACCUAGUUGCUACUAUCAGCCGUUUCAUCCCCAAGCCAUCCACAGUUUCUCAUUGGAUGAGCUUCCAUUACAACCAUGAACAUUUUCUUACUAAAUAAAAAUACCUUCAAGGCACUUUAAGAUCCAACCUUAUGUUGAAUUUUAACUCGAAUCCCAGAAGCCGACACCCAAAAAGAGUGCAGGGAUCUGCCUUUCAAAAGUGACGCCUUUAAACCAACGAGUUAACCCAUAGACCUUUGAUUCUAUUUUGCUUCUUAUUUCCUUAACUCUCCUUCCUUCUGACUCGAGCAUCAGAGGCUUGUACCUCUCUCAUGCCAUCGCAACACUAUGCUACUCAAUCAUUUACUAGUUUCCCUUGAAAUAUGAAUACACCUUGUCCUUCUCUAAUGGUACCAACCCCUUGGUAGUACCAUCUAGCGGAGAGACUUCAGCUUCUCACUUUCAAUACCUUUAUGGAUUUUGCAUCUCCUAAUCAAUGUUGCUAAUUCGUCAACACGUACUACCAUGUUCCAAACAUUGAAGUGUAGAGACCAAUCCUUGUAGUGCUACUUCGAAGAUGCAGCCAUUCAAGCGACUAGGUUAACCUCGUAACUUUCACCUUGCUGCAUAUACUACCAUUCCCUAUUUUCCUACCUACUCCUGGAUCAAUUUCCACUCAGUCAGGUAAAACUAAACACAUACUACAACCGAAACCUUACUCUAACUACCUGCAUCACAUCAUACCUUGAUAUGAUGAAAAAAGUCCUGAAAAGCCUGGUAAUUCUACUCUAUUUAGCUUGUACCCUUCUAACACCUCUUUCCCCUAUCCUUCUCUUGAACUCCUUUCUUGCUCUUCUUCCAUGGUAUGCCUACUAUCCGCCAUCAAGACUACGACCCACUAAGCCCACUUUUGGAGCUUAAGUGCGUCAUAUCGUUUAUUCGUGUUUUAGUAGUUAAAUUUGGGAUUUGUAUUCCAACUUUGUAGGCUUAAUUAACGUCAAAGAAGCCCUCUUAAAGAACUCCUUGGCCGAAUUUAGUCCUUGAGGAGGAAGGGUUGACUUAGUCCAAACUUAUUCCUUAAGUAAGGAGGAUUCAUUUCCUUGCCUUGGGAAUCCUUCUCCUUUCUAUUCUUGAUGAACAAGGCUUUAUUUUUCUAUAACUUCAUGGCAUCCCUAUCCUAUAUAAAGAGAAUACAACGACUAUAGUUAGGCAGAAUGCCCAUAAUAAAGUUUAAGUAAAUUUCGGCCUAGAACCCUCUUUUGAAGCACGUCAAAAUUGAGUUUUCAAACUUUUAAAGUUCGGAAAAGAAUUUUACCUAGUCAUAGAUCAGAUGAAGUUUUGUAGUUGCAUUGGAAAAAUCAUUGCUAGUCCUAAGACCUUAGCUCACGGAAUUGAUUCAUCAUAUAUGUUUCUCUGUUUAAAUUGAGUGAAACACUAGUGGUAAAAGAAUGAGUGGUGAGAUUCGAAUGUUUAUAGAUUGACAGAUUUUGAAAGGUCCAUUCUUUGUGCAGUAACCAUGUUUUGUGAGGAUCAAAAAAAUUGACGGAGAUACGACAAAGGCUGAAGGCCACUCAAGCAGAGCCACAUAACAAGGCUAAAAUACCUGAAGUAGCACCACUAACACCACUCACACUUGUUGGGCAUGGACCUCUCUAUGCCGCAUCUUUUGAGGAUCUACAUCAACGGGACAUUCUUAGUUCAUGCCAAUUAACAAAACAUCCUUUUUUUAUUUUAAUACGAGAAAAUUAUGUCUUAUGAAGCCGCAAACAACAACAGAGUAAUCUUGACCGCAAAAAAAAUAGAGCAAUCACUUCUCCAUUGUGUUGUUUCUUUUCUUUUUCCAUCCUUCCUUUCUUUCAUACUAAACCCAAAUCCCACCCCAUUACUAAUAAUUUAUCAUCUUUCAUUCAAAACUCAUUUAUCAUCUUCCAUUCAAAUAAUUAACCCAUGAAUCCCUUUAUCAAAUAAGAGACGUAUAUAGCAAAUAGAAUUGCAAACAGUAGAAGUACAAACAUUUUAAUAUACAUAUAUAUACAUAAGUGUUCUACGGCACAAGGUUUAGAGCCUCAUCACAAAUUUCUUAUUUAAAAAUAUGCACUGUAUAUUAAACUGCAAUGCAGCGCGGAUAAAAAAAGCGAGGUAGUGAUGUAGUGACGAAGCAGAUUGCAUUGCCCUAUCCAAACAAUAUGCCAUUGUUGUUUUGAGCCAUAUUGGAGAAAGGAAAUGAAUGGUGAAUGAAACAAUAUAUAGAGAAUCAAACAAUACAGAGUAUGAUGAAUGAAAUUGCUACUAUCAUGAACUAAUGAUUUGGAUAAUUUGAUUUUGGUUACGGAUUUCAGAUGAGAGGAAGAUUGGUGGGUGUUUCAAUUGGAUCAUCUUCUUUCCUACUUAAUAAUUUCAUUUACUCUUAUGUGAUAAGUUAUUUUCUAUGAUCCAACUAGUUAUAGAUGAUUAUAACUAGUUAUUAAGUCGUGUAAAUAAUUACAAAGAAUUAUAAAUAGUUAUUCGUAUAACUAGUUAUUAAGUCGUAUAAAUUGCAAAAAUUGAUGGGGAUGAAAGAGAUGGAAUUGAGAGGGAAGGAAGAGAACAUGGAUUUCAUGGAAGAUGGAUCUUGUUGGGACCAUAUAUUGAUAAAUGAAGACUUUUGGUUCCAGGAAGUUUGAUGAGGUCCGACCAAGAAGAAGAAUAUAAAUAGAAGAGAGAGAAGGGGAAGAAAGGACAAAUUUAGUAUGAUUUGGCUGCCAUGUCAGAUUCUCACUUGACAACAUCCUUUUAUCCCACAUCACAUUUCAGCUUAGUGGUCAUUGGUGAAAUCAACUAAUGAGAGUAGUGGUACCGGGUGCACUAAAUUAAAUUUUAAUGGAAAGUGUGUAACGAUUUUCGAAGUUGAAUGAUAUAUGGUGUAAUUACGUCUAUAACUAGUUAUAGGCCAUUCACUAGUUACAUAUGAUUUUAUUUUGUCAUAAAUGCUUAUAAUAUGAUACAUGUAUAACAUAUUACUCGUAUGACUGACUACUAACGAUUAUAACCUAUAACGAACGACUAUAACUUGUUACUAGUGUAACCCGUUAUAAAUGAUUACAACAUGUUACACGUAUAACAUUUUAUAAACGAUUAUUUUCCGGAAAAGUCAUUGGAAACUCGUUGAACAGUCGACGUAAAAGCCUAGAUAUGAUUGUUAAGAUUCAUCUUUGAACUUCUUAAAAUAAUUGAACUUAGAUUAUACCAUCAACCAUUAAGUUUUCUAGAAUAAGUACUUGAACUGGAAACAUGUUUUGAGUAAAAAAUAUGGGUAAUAUAUGGUAAAAAAUUUUUGCCAACGCCAACAAUCAUUUUGCCACCCAUUCUUUUUUUGGGUAGAAAGGUUGGACUCAAGGUCCUAAUUAUUAAUACUGAUGGCUCGUGGGAAGGAAACCGCAAUAAUAUCAGCACGAAUAAAUUUAAUAAUAUUUCGAGGGAAUUAACUAAUAAUAUGCAUUUCGAAAAGGAGGGAAAGCAUUAAUAAUAUGAGCGAAAAGGUCCGUCACACUGUUUCCUUCUCUAUAGAUGUGAGUCACAAUCACCAUCUAAUCAUGAUGGAAAAGUUCAUGCAGUUCUGUUAUACUCUCAAAGUGCUUUAAAUCCGCAGCAUUGGGGUUAGAACCAUAUGCGUCGACAACGGCGGAAUCAAUUUAUAGAUGCACUUUGCGGUACCUUGGAUUCCAUGGAAAUUGUACGCCAAUAAUAAGAGCUCUGAUUUCAUCUCAUGUGAUUGUACAUUCCAUGGAAUUAGCUGCAAAGGCACCCUGACACCCCCUCGAAUCAUGUAAAAUACCGCCCCUUGUUGAGCUCUUUGAAGAUUUUAAGACUGAAUCUUGGAUGUUGAGGGUAAUUUCAACAUCGUUACAAACCUACCAACCCACCAGGCUCUGGCUCUCCCAUUUUCAUUAUCUCCAAAACCCCGAUAUCCAAUAAAGGACUCAUAGUUGGAGCUAAUAUGAGAAGGUUGAAACAUUUCUAAAAAUAAACUCAUUACGAUGUUUCUAAAGAAGCUUACAUACGAUACCAAACUCAAGCCUAUGUUUGGAAAUAGUGGUCCCUGUAAUAAUCCAGUCACUUAAAUUUAAGUGAAAAGAUCUACUUGGAAGCUGCGUUCCCAGGAUUCUUAUCCAUAGCUGUUUUUCUAUGGACAAUCUUAAAGAGCAUACAAAAGAUUUUCUAGUUGUUGCUCGCAGACAGAGCACGUAGCUGCAUUGGACAUAUGCCGCCGAUACCAUAUGCAUUAGUCAUCAGUCUAUCGUGAUAGGCUAACCAUGGAAAAGGCAUUACUCUAUUCGGGCCCUUCCAUUUCCAUAAAAUUUUCCAACUCGAAUGGCUAUUACCACUGUCGAUACCUGCCAACACGUGAUAAGCACUCUUGAUUUUAAAUUUACCUUUAUGAUUUGGUCCCCAGAUGAAAGAAUCGUUCUCUUUUCCAUAAGGCGUUGGCAUUCCUUGAACCAAGCCUUUAAUUGAGUUUGGAAGAAGCGAAUCUAGGGUUUCCCAAGUGCCAUCUUUCAUAACCGAAUCGGGUACCGUAAGGUAGCCAAACAGUUGGAGUAGAAUAAGGGAGAUCCACUCAGCUAACGUUUACCCAUUAUCUAUCCACACAUCAUGAAAAAAAUUCGUGUGCCUAACUACCUAAACAGUGAUAUGAAUGUUGGGAGCACCACCUCUUACACCUUAAGCCCCUCCAUAGAGGCGAGGAAAUUUUGACACAUAUUGGAAUGACUCCAUCAGGCCCAUCCUUUGUAUAUUUUGAAAUGAGAACUUUGACCGGUUUGUGAAAGCUCGUCGGGAUGUGAAAGAAUGUUCCAAACCAGUUUCACCAAGAAGGCUUCAUUCAUUUCCUUAGCCUUCCGAAGUACAAGCUCACCUUGUUCUUUUGGCUUACACACAGUAUCCCAAGAUAACAGGUGGAGUUUCCUCUCCUUUAGUUAUGAAUGCACAUAUCAAUUUUGUUACAAAUGUGAAAAAGGGAGGACAACAGUUUGCAUGGCAUAGGAAGGAAUGGCAUUAAGAAUAGAAACAACAAUAGUGAUUGUGCCCGCUAAAGAGAGAUACUUGCACUUCCAACUUGCCAAUUUUGCAACAAUACGACCAAGGAUAUAUUUGUAAUUAUUCUAUAUAGUACAACCAUGCAAAAUAGGCACACUAAGAUACUACCCCAAAUUUAAAGUCUCUUGAAAGUUAAUUUCACAAUACCCAAUUAACUAUCUGAUGAUGUUAAUUUCCAAAUGACAUCAGGCGCAGUAUUGCUCAUCUUUAAGAACCUAAAAGAGGAGGAUUUUAGAUAUUAGACUUAAUUUUAACAUGGGUUGAAAUAGUAUGAAACGAUGACUUAGCGACUCACGAGGAAUGACUUCACAAUUAAAGUGACGUAUCAGAAAAGAUUGAUCUGAAAGAACUCGUGUUCCCCAUAUCCAGUAGACAUAAGAAGUAUAUUAUUAUAAUUUCUUAAUAAUUGUAGUUAUAAGAGAGAAAGGAAUUCAUUAAUUUUAAUUACUAACGAUGGGGAUUCAUGUACUAAUACCUAAUCGAAUUCUAAUUAUAAGUUACUAAUCUAAAUAAAUUAUAUCAACUAUAAAAUUAGGAAUAAAGUAAUGAUCCUAAUAUUGUCUUAAAAGAUUACUAUCAUCCUAAACCAAUUAGAAUUGAUUCUAGGAUUUAUAGACCUAUGGAAUUCAUUUUGGGUGCAGUAUGUCAGAACUGAAAAGUUACAGAUCACGACCGCUACAAGGGAAUAGCUCCUUACUAAAUAUCAGAUUCUAACAGUUUGUUUACGUCAAGCAAUUUACUACAUUUGGGGUGUUGUUUCUAAUUUUCUGGAAGUUAAGUGACGACAUCAGAAACACUGGAAACGCUAGGUGCUGCCAUAGAGACUUGCCAACCAUCUUCUCCACUAAUCUUAGAAAAGAAACCGAGAUUUCUGGCGAGAGAAUGUGAGGCUCCGGCGAACAACUAAUCGCCCCGAACAUACUAACCAGCUGAAAGCUAUCCAAAUGAAUCAAAAGGCUUCAGUCGUCCUUAUAAGGAUCCGCAAGUUGAAAAUGUCGCCGCCGGCGAGGGAUUAAAAUCUGGAAAUCGAACUCAAAGUACUCAAUGACUAGUUCUAGCUAAAUGAUUUCAACGCAAGGGAGGAGGAACAAACUUCCUUAGCUGAACCAAGACCGGAUGGAGGUUUAAAUCAGCACACGGAAACAACCGCCGCAAAAAGAUUCAUCAACGUCGAGAAUCCUACUCUUAUAAAUUAAUAAGGGCCAUAGGGAUUCGAUUAGUGUUAUUGACCGGCUCGAUCAAAUUGUAAGGACGAAAAAGGAGGAUGUAUGUAUCGUUUCCAACGUUCCUCAAGCUCCUGAUGAUUUGUUUUGCCGUCGCCGACUGAUCAAAGAUAUUGGGAGGAUGAGCUUUUUAAUUAGGCAAAGGGUGACGAAUUGAUGGGUUUUAAAUCCUAAAAUUUCUAUGCGGUUUUGAUCAAUUCUCGUGUUGAUUGGAGUUCAGAAAAGGAAAGGAGAUGAGCUGCCGGAUCGGUGACGUAGAAGGUAAGUUGCGAUUCUGGAUUUGGGGAAGGAGAUGAGGUGACAUCACCAUGACAUCAUCAGAAGCAAGAAAGGGAGGAAACUUAAAAUGGAGAGUAUGUGUUGAGAUUUUGCAUACUUAGCCACUAGGCCACAAUCAAUUUAAUGAUCCAAGUCCUCUUGGUUCAUUUAAGUUCUGAUUGGGGAGCCGAAUCAUCACAUUAAAUCGGUUAAAGGUUAGAUGGUUAAUCGAUCUUAAUAGUUUCUAAUAUGUUAUGAUUAACAUGCAAUCCACAUUUUAAUCUAUUGUGGAAUAAUAAUAUUUAUUAUUAUUAUCAUACUUGUCUUAACGCUACUAAUAUCAUCAUUAGUAAUAAUAGUAGAAGUAAUGAUGAAGGAUUAUUCCAAGACCUUCUUUAGGGGUAGUUUAGGGACUUACAAGCUCAAACUUUUCCCCACCAGGUUCGGGAUGUAACAUUUACUACCCACUUCAAAAAUAAUUUCGUCCUCGAAAUUGAAAAGAUCAAGAGACAAAGAGCGAGCAUCCAACAUGAAUUUAUUCGUGACAUAAAAGAAAAAUGCCAAUUGCAAUUAUUCAGAUUACUAACUUCCAUCGGUUAGUAAAUAACAUUGGAUAUUUCAUUCUCAUGCUUUCCGUAGUCUCCUAGGUUACCGCUACAGUUCCUGGAUUUCCCUAUACCACCAUCAUCAUAGGAAUCUUCUUCCUACGGAGCUCUUUCUCUUGACGACCAAUAAUUUGGACUGGACUCUUCAUAGGUGAGAUCAUCAGUCAAUUCAAUGUCUUCCAACCUCAACACAUGUUUUAGAUUGGAUUGAUCAGCUCGUAACAUGCUAACAUGGAAGAUGUUAUGGAUCCUAUAAUGGAUUGGAGGCAGUGCUAGCCUAUAUUCCAAUGGGCCUAUACGCUCCAACACCUCAUAGGGCCC
rnacentral:lncRNA from 1 species